CCAUCAUCAUCAUUGUUGCAUCACUACUGUCAUUGUCAUCAUGAUCAUGACCAUCGUCGUCAUCACAACUGGCAUCAUCAUCGUGGUCAUCAUCGCUGUCAUCAAAUGUCACCUUCUACAACCAGAUGUCCUGACCAUUCCACCAAGGCUGGUGUGAACCGCUCCGAUCUUCGGGUGACGAGAUCAAGGCCUGACACUCCGGGUUCACCUGUCAGCGGGGCUCAGCUGGGCUGAAGAUGCCACUUUCCUCUAGUUGGUGAGUUCUGUGCUUGAGCGGCGUCUUAGAAUCACCCGAGGACCUUUGAGAAAUGCCAGUGUCCGGGACAUACCCCCAGAGAUUGCGAUUCAGUUGCUGGGAUGGACCUCGGCAUCCGUGUUGUUACAGCGCUCCCAGCGGAUUUCCAUGCAUGGCUUUGGUGGAGGACACAACUCGAGCUACAGCCAGAGAACCAGAGGGCUGGGCUCUACUUGAAUUUUACCUAGGAGGCACCAGAAGCUCAGAGAGGGGUAAAUCUCACGGAAGGUCACACAGCAAGUGGGAAGCCCAGCCUGGAUGAGCCCUCUAGAGUGCCUAUGGGGCUGUUUCCUUGGGCACGGGGAACUUUCUCUUGAAACCCCUCAGCCCGUCAACUCGAAGGCAAGACACCUUUUAGACAGAGGGAGGGUGGCCACCCAGGCUGAGCCUCGGAGCCCCUGCACCCUGCCCACCCUGAUGGAGGGACAGCCAGAACUUCCUCCAGGCUCACAGAUACCUCUGUCUCCCUUGCACUCUGUGCCCUCACGACCCCUUUGUUGGAGCAUGGCUGCGUCGCCGUGGCCCAUGAUGGAGCUGGGGCCGCUUGGGGACAAGAGACCAUCUCUGAGUCUGGAACCUAGUCAUGGGCAGCCUCUUCUGGAUUUGAGUUUCUGGAGCCUUGUGGAGAAAAGGCCACACUUCGCAGCCCACGGAAGCGAGGAGAGGCCUCAGUUAUCUGCCCCGGCAUACCCAUUCCUGGCGGAGGAUUAGAACACUCCCGCCCAAGUGGGACUCCAUGAUGGAUGUCGAGAAGCAACCAAAUGUCCCUCAUUAAUCACCAGCCCCAUCUGGCUCCCCGCCUGAUGGUUUUCAGCUGACUUGAAAAAGACCCAAUUAGAUGAAAACAUUUUGACAAUUUAUCUUGUGGCAUGAACAGGUCCAGAUUGAGGCUAUGAUUUCAUCACUGGGGAGGGAGGAAGGGAUCGGGAUGUGGGUCACGCACAGAGCUCGGGGGGACGUGGGGGUCUCCCCCAGGAGCCUUCCUGUGAACCAGAGUGCAGUCCGCCUCCCGCUGGCUGCUGGCCGUGUCAGUCCCGGGGCCGGCCGGAACCGCAGGAGGAAGAGCAUCCUUUGGUUCGGGUGGAAAAGGCCCAAGAAAAUGGACAAUCGGAAAUAGUCGAGCAGCUCGGCCUGCGGGGGGGUUGAAUGGGAAGCAGAAGUUGGGAUGUGACCAAGGCCGGGCCUGGUCCAGCCCUCACACGAGCGAGGUGCCUGGGGACCCAGCCCAGAGACAGGUGACUCAGAUUUGGCCUCCUUGAGGUGUGCCUGGCAGAGCCCCCUGAGAUUCCCACACCCUCCUUGUAGAGCCGGGAACGUGCCAGUGUCUCCGGAAUGGCCCAUCCACGGCGGGUGAUUGUUUCCAUGAGAUCACGGCUCUUCGUUCUUCAAAACCGUGUUUCCAGCCGCCUUGAAGGUCCUUGUGGGUGGCUCGCCAGGAAAGCCCCCGGCGGGCUACCUGCCGCCCCUUGAAACUUGUUCAUGCCCUCUCUCCUCUGCACGGGGAAGCUGCCUGAGGACCGGAAAAGCAAACCAGGGUGUCUCUCCCACCAAGUUCAUGUCUGCAGCCCGCAGGCCGACAGGAGCGGCGGCUGAUGCUUUUCCCUCCUCUCUGUCUCUGCCGUUGACAGCCCGACACCCAGGACAGCGUGCAAACCCAGUUAUCCACAGCUGUUGCCAAGGAUAUUUAUCACUUUUCAGCCCUCCACGUGACUCCUAGAUGAGACACCCAAAUGCACCUAAAUGGGGCCCUUUUCGCUUCCCGUUUGAAGUAAAAAUUUCCAAGCAACAUCUGACAUCAGGAUAACGAUGACUCAGACUUUCCGACACUUAAGCCCAGAUCCACAUGUCCAAACAUCUAAGAUGAUGCUACGUGGUAUAUGAGUUCUGCCCCUGACUCCAACAGGCUGUUCACCUUGUGGCAUCUCCGAGGUCCUUCCACGGUGCCGUGGUUCUGGAGGUCUCGCUUACGUGCCGCCUCAGUAUGGAGUCGUGGAAGGGACGUUAAACUAGACUGGAAGAGUGCAGAUCUAACCCAGAAAUGCCAGCAAGGGGUUGCACUGUCCCAGGCACUCUCCCGGCCUCUCGGCAUUGCGGUCCGGUCAUUUGAGAAAUAGUCAGCAGUUUCCAAGCAUUUUGUAAAACAAAGAUCCCUUUGGCCAAACCAAAUCUUAAAUGGAGCCCCAGUGUAGGGCGGAUAAAUGCCGCGCUGAUUUGGUUGAGGCAGGACUGGAGCCCCAGAGUCCUACUCGCUCUCCUCCUUCCCGGUGCAAGAAGCCCGAAGGUCACUCUAGGAAGCUUUAGGGCUCCAUGGAACACAGUUGGAAAACCACUG